rnacentral:tRNA from 1 species
GAUAGCUCAACGGUAGAGCACUCGGCUGUUAACCGAGGGGUUGUUGGUUCGAAUCCAACUC